GAUGAACGCUGGCGGCGUGCCUAAUACAUGCAAGUCGAGCGAACAGACGAGGAGCUUGCUCCUCUGACGUUAGCGGCGGACGGGUGAGUAACACGUGGAUAACCUACCUAUAAGACUGGGAUAACUUCGGGAAACCGGAGCUAAUACCGGAUAAUAUAUUGAACCGCAUGGUUCAAUAGUGAAAGACGGCUUUGCUGUCACUUAUAGAUGGAUCCGCGCCGCAUUAGCUAGUUGGUAAGGUAACGGCUUACCAAGGCAACGAUGCGUAGCCGACCUGAGAGGGUGAUCGGCCACACCGGAACUGAGACACGGUCCAGACUCCUACGGGAGGCAGCAGUAGGGAAUCUUCCGCAAUGGGCGAAAGCUUGACGGAGCAACGCCGCGUGAGUGAUGAAGGUCUUCGGAUCGUAAAACUCUGUUAUUAGGGAAGAACAAAUGUGUAAGUAACUAUGCACGUCUUGACGGUACCUAAUCAGAAAGCCACGGCUAACUACGU
rnacentral:rRNA from 1 species